GUCUCUUCGGGACAUUCGAUAAAAUUGGAACGAUACACAGAAGAUUAGCAUGAUUCCUCCGUAAGGAUGACAUGAACAACUCAAUAAAUGGUUCAAAUUAUU
rfam:Brassica napus, WGS project CCCW01000000 data, contig: 20958